GGGGAGGUGAUAAGUCAGAGUCUGAUCCAUUGUGUUGAGUGCCCCUUCGAGGUGACAUAUGCGAGUCCUUCUGUCGUAUAGCUGAAAAACAAGAUAUGGAUGCAUGAAAACAGAACUCAGUGCAGUCAUUACAGUGUGACCUCUAUACAUGAUGGAUUUGUCCUCUUCAUUUAUCUGUCUAUCUGUUGGAUGGAUACUUCGUUGUCAAGUUGUGCUUCCGGUUCCUGUUAUUUUUAUUGAACUUAUUCUGAUUUUGCAAUUCUAACCUCGCCACAAAGAAGAGGAUAUUUCAGUUGGGACUUUACCAUAUAUCACCUGUUACCCUGAUUUGAUUGGUUGUUAUUGUAUUGCUGUACACAUGAUGACACAAAGUUUUCUGCACCGUACUAUUUUUUCUUUUAACCCUUAUUGUUUGCUGCUAUAUGAGCUAAGAAAGAAGAAUUAGCAUAA